AUCCAGCUGAGGAGUCCCAAAUAGGACAAAACGCGCGUCAAACUGGAU
rnacentral:hammerhead_ribozyme from 1 species